GACAGAGGGUGCAAACGUUGUUCGGAUUUACUGGGCGUAAAGCGCGUGUAGGCGGCUUGGCAAGUCGGAUGUGAAAGCCCACGGCUCAACCGUGGAAGCGCAUCCGAAACGGCCUCGCUCGAGUCUCGGAGAGGAAGGUGGAAUGCUUGGUGUAGAGGUGAAAUUCGUAGAUAUCAAGCAGAACACCUGCGGCGAAGGCGGCCUUCUGGACGAUGACUGACGCGGAGACGCGAAAGCGUGGGGAGCAAACAGG
rnacentral:rRNA from 1 species